UACAGAGGGGGCAAGCGUUAUUCGGAAUUAUUGGGCGUAAAGGGCGCGUAGGCGGCCAUUCAAGUGACGGGUGAAAUCCCCAGGCUCAACCUGGGAACUGCGUCCGAUACUGGAUGGCUUGAAUUUGGGAGAGGGAUGCAGAAUUCCAGGUGUAGCGGUGAAAUGCGUAGAUAUCUGGAGGAAUACCGGUGGCGAAGGCGGCAUCCUGGACCGACAUUGACGCUGAGGAGCGAAAGCUAGGGGAGCAAACGGG
rnacentral:rRNA from 1 species